rnacentral:rRNA from 1 species
AGAAAUAACAAUACAGGGCUAAUGUCUUGUAAUUGGAAUGAUGGUGACCCAAACCCUCACCAGAGUAGCAAUUGGAGGGCAAGUCUGGUGCCAGCAGCCGCGGUAAUUCCAGCUCCAAUAGCGUAUAUUAAACUUGUUGCAGUUAAAAAGCUCGUAGUUGAAUUUUAGCGUGUUCGAGUUUGCCAUUCGUUUGGCUUUUUCGAGUUCGCUUUUGGGUUUUCCCUUUUUACUUUGAGAAAAUUAGAGUGUUUCAAGCAGACUUUUGUCUUGAAUACUUCGAGCAUGGAAUAA